GAUCAUGGCUCAGGAUGAACGCUAGCGACAGGCCUAACACAUGCAAGUCGAGGGGCAUCACGAGGUAGCAAUACUUUGGUGGCGACCGGCGCACGGGUGCGUAACGCGUAUGUAACCUACCUAUAACAGGGGCAUAACACUGAGAAAUUGGUACUAAUUCCCCAUAAUAUUCGGAGAGGCAUCUCUCCGGGUUGAAAACUCCGGUGGUUAUAGAUGGACAUGCGUUGUAUUAGCUAGUUGGUGG
rnacentral:rRNA from 1 species